rnacentral:rRNA from 1 species
UACGUAGGGUGCGAGCGUUAAUCGGAAUUACUGGGCGUAAAGCGUGCGCAGGUGGUCAUGCAAGACAGAUGUGAAAUCCCCGGGCUUAACCUGGGAAUUGCAUUUGUGACUGCAUGGCUAGAGUGUGGCAGAGGGGGGUGGAAUUCCACGUGUAGCAGUGAAGUGCGUAGAGAUGUGGAGGAACACCGAUGGCGAAGGCAGCCCCCUGGGCUAACACUGACGCUCAUGCACGAAAGCGUGGGGAGCAAACAGG